rnacentral:rRNA from 1 species
UACGUAGGGUGCAAGCGUUAAUCGGAAUUACUGGGCGUAAAGCGUGCGCAGGCGGUUGUGCAAGACAGAUGUGAAAUCCCCGGGCUCAACCUGGGAACUGCAUUUGUGACUGCACGGCUAGAGUGCGGCAGAGGGAGAUGGAAUUCCGCGUGUAGCAGUGAAAUGCGUAGAUAUCUGGAGGAAUACCGGUGGCGAAGGCGGCAUCCUGGACCGGCAUUGACGCUGAGUGAGCGAAAGCCAGGGGAGCAAACGGG